UUUGAAUCCCUUCUCUCUCUGUUCUCUCUUAACUCCCCCUCAAACCUUAGCCGGCUUCUACCAUCUCAACCAUUAAACUCACCGGAAUCCAUGGCUUCUCAGGCAAUGGACAGCCUAUAAUCACCUCCUACGGCUCCUACAUGCCUGAUGCUUGAAGGAUCGAGGACAGACUUCGAAGUUCCUCUCUCAGACCUUCACCGAUUCGAGGAUUACUUUCAUCUCCGGCCUUGCUCUGGUGGCUCUUGGAUUUAUGAGCCUGUUUCUGACCUUAUCCGACUUAGAUCGGACCUUUCCAAGCCUUUCUCACUCUAGGGUUCUUCUGAAAUCCUAACUAUCCAAGUUUUUUCUUUCCGAUUUUCUUAGAUCUGUUGUGUAUCCAUGUUCUAUUUGAGUUUUUGAACGAUUUUCCCAACUUUUCUUUCAAAAUUACUUUCAAAAGUUACUUCUUCUCGGUUUAGUGUUUUCUGGAAAUUUUCAAAUUGUUUCUCUGACUUUCUUCUCCUUUCCUUUGUGUGUAUUUGUUUGUUCUAUGUUCUUAUGUUUUCUUUUCUACCAUGCAUGUUCUUCUACUAUGUUCUUAUGUUUUCAUGAAUAUUCUUUUACUAUCUUCGUUCUUUUCUUCUAUUGUGUUUUCUAUGCUAUGUUCUCACAUGCUUUCCCACUAUGUCCAGCUAUUUUUCUGAUAUGCUUCUCCUAUUGUAUCCUUCUACCGUGUGCUUAAGUGUUCAUUGUUUUCUCCUCUGCUUUACCUAUUUUAAGUUUUCCUAAAAGACCUAUUUAAAGAAUGUUUUCUUCUACUAUUUAUUCUACUCUCACUAUGCUUCGAAUCUGUUUAUUCACUCUGUUUGCUUUGAACCUUCUACUGUAGUUGUUUUUUUCUCAUGAUUCUCUGAAUGAGAUCUCUGAGCCUGUUUCAACUACUU
rnacentral:lncRNA from 1 species